AGAGUUUGAUCCUGGCUCAGGACAAACGCUGGCGGCGUGCCUAACACAUGCAAGUCGCACGUCCUCCCUUGUUUCGGCAGGGGAGGGAGUGGCGGACGGGUGAGGAACACGUGGGUGACCUACCCCGAGGUGAGGGAUACCGGGGCGAAAGCCUCGACAAUCCCGCAUAGGUUUGCCUGAUCAAGCAGGGAAACAAAGCA
rnacentral:rRNA from 1 species